AUUUCCGCCUCCUCCUGCAUGUGACCACACAGAAUUGACCCUGGCAGCCUCUUACCCAGGACCAGCCUGCGACCCACUCCUCAGUUACACAGGGAAAGCUUUCACAGUCAGAGUAGGGAAGAAAAUGCAGGGCUGGGAAGGCCAGGGGGCGGAGGAGGAAUGGGAGAGGAAGGGCUACGAAUGAACUACAGAAGUACGUGAAGUAGAUGAGACCUUGUUCGGGACAUGAAAUAAAGGAUUUGUAGUAUCCUCGGAAAACCAGCUUGGAGUGCCACCUGGUAAAGCUCGGAGGAUCUACCAAAACACAAACAAACAUACAAACCUGGACCCCGGCAAGAUUAGAGGGAUGAAUUGGGAAACCCGAAAGACUGAACAUUUCUAUGGGCAUUGGAAACCAGCUUCCUGCAUAGAGAAUCUAUCAGCAGUUUGACUCAGCUUCACUUUUUGCCCAAGGAACACUCCUGCACAUUCAACCUGAAAGCUAAAGCAGCUAACACCCAGGGGCAAAUCUUGACCAGUGAAGAAGAAGCCUGUGAUCAGCUAGUGCAAGGAGCACUUUAUAGCUAUUCUCAGAAGAUCCUGGAAGAUUUAGCUCAGUUGCUCACAAUAGUGAUUGACUCAAUUAUAUUCCUAAACUGGCUCUUCCUCCUGCUUCACUGUUCUCUGCCCUCACUCCUGCUCUGGGAUCACUUCCCAAAUCAAUCUCCUCCUCAAAAGUCCUCAUCUCAGCCACGGGAUGGUGUAUGGUGCAGGGAGAGGCACUGAAACUGAAGGCGGAGGAGGAUUCCCAGAAGAAGACAACUAACCCCCACAGAGUGAGUCACUCUGCCUACCUACUCAUUAAGAAUAAAAACCAUAU